rnacentral:rRNA from 1 species
CGCGUAGGCGGUCUAAUAAGUCUGAUGUGAAAUCCCUGGACCCAAUUCAGGAAGUGCAUCGGAUACUGCUAGACUAGAGUGCAGGAGAGGAGAGCGGAAUUCCUGGUGUAGAGGUGAAAUUCGUAGAUAUCAGGAGGAACAACAGUGGCGAAGGCGGCUCUCUGGACUGUAACUGACGCUGAGGCGCGAAAGCGUGGGGAGCAAACA